UGUCAUAACAGGUGAUGAUCAUGAAGGUAUUUUCAACUUAAACAUCUUACCAAUCAUUUCCAAACCAAGGGCAUGGGAAAACUGAAGUAUUUUCUGGGUAUUGAGGUAGUACAAUGCAGUACUAGUAUUGCCAUUUCAUAAAGUAUGCAUUGGACAUAUUGGAAGAAACUGGUAUGUUAAAUUGUAAGUACGUGCGUACUUCCAUGGAUCCAAAUGUCAAA
rnacentral:misc_RNA from 1 species